AAUGAACGUUGGUGGCGUGCUUAACACAUGCAAGUCGAACGCUGAAGCCCUUCGGGGUGGAUGAGUGGCGAACGGGUGAGUAACACGUGGGUAAUCUGCCCUGCACUCUGGGAUAAGCCUUGGAAACGGGGUCUAAUACCGGAUAGGACACAUCGCCGCAUGGUGUGUGUGUGGAAAGUUCCGGCGGUGCAGGUUGAGCCCGCGGCCUAUCAGCUUGUUGGUGGGGUGAUGGCCUACCAAGGCGACGACGGGUAGCCGGCCUGAGAGGGUGACCGGCCACACUGGGACUGAGACACGGCCCAGACUCCUACGGGAGGCAGCAGUGGGGAAUCUUGCGCAAUGGGCGAAAGCCUGACGCAGCAACGCCGCGUGGGGGAUGACGGCCUUCGGGUUGUAAACCUCUUUCGACCGGGACGAAGGAUUCGUUUGACGGUACCGGUAGAAGAAGCACCGGCUAACUACGUGCCAGCCGCCGCAGUAA
rnacentral:rRNA from 1 species